ACACGUGGCUAUAUCGGUGGUGUCCACCUCUUCCCAUUCCGAACAGAGAAGUUAAGCCCACCAGAGCCGAUGGUACUGCGGUAACACGUGGGAGAGUAGGUCGGUGCCAAAU
rnacentral:rRNA from 1 species